GAGUUUGAUCGUGGCUCAGAUUGAACGCUGGCGGCAGGCCUAACACAUGCAAGUCGAGCGGUAGAGAGAAGCUUGCUUCUCUUGAGAGCGGCGGACGGGUGAGUAAUGCCUAGGAAUCUGCCUGGUAGUGGGGGAUAACGCUCGGAAACGGACGCUAAUACCGCAUACGUCCUACGGGAGAAAGCAGGGGACCUUCGGGCCUUGCGCUAUCAGAUGAGCCUAGGUCGGAUUAGCUAGUUGGUGAGGUAAUGGCUCACCAAGGCGGCGGAUCCGUAACUGGUCUGAGAAGAUGAUCAGUCACACUGGAACUGAGACACGGUCCAGACUCCUACGGGAGGCAGCAGUGGGGAAUAUUGGACAAUGGGCGAAAGCCUGAUCCAGCCAUGCCGCGUGUGUGAAGAAGGUCUUCGGAUUGUAAAGCACUUUAAGUUGGGAGGAAGGGCAGUAAAUUAAUACUUUGCUGUUUUGACGUUACCGACAGAAUAAGCACCGGCUAACUCUGUGCCAGCA
rnacentral:rRNA from 1 species